UCCCAAAGCCCCCCAGUAGUUAGUUGUAUACUCUAGUUGUGGGUCCUUCUAGUUGUGGCAUGUGGGACGCCGCCUCAGCAUGGCCUGAUGAGCAGGGCCAUGUCCGCGCCCAGGAUCUGAACCCGUGAAACCCUGGGCCGCAGAAGCUGAGCACGAAAACUUAACCACUCGGCCACAGGGCCGGCCCCUAGAAUACUUUUUUUAAGCUCUAACAAGAGUAAUUAGACCACAGUGAGGUCAGGGGUGGGAGUGUGUGAGCUAGUUGCCUCCAUUUGGGGCAGACAUGCAGGUGGUCAGUCCUCUGCUUCUGAGAGAUUUGGAACCAGUUUACUGUCCCCUUAGGUGCAUAAGGGAAAGGCUCACACAUCUGGGGCCUCUCGUGUGUGUACAUACGCUUGCACACCUGUACACAUAGUGUUUGAAGUUACACAAACUUAAGACACAAAGGGCCAGAGUGUUGCACAGAGGUGAUAAACAAAGGGGGUGGAACCUGCCUCAGAGGGGUGUUGCGGGGCCAGGGAGGAGGCUGAGCGCUGGUGCCUGACUUGGAGAUACAUGCAUUUUUAACAAAUAAGUGAGGGCAUACAGAGCACAUCCUUUCUGGUGGACACCAAUUGGCAGCUUUCUGGUAAUUCACGAGCAGCAGCUCUCCAGCAUCCCACAGUGACCUGGGGAAGUUCCAGAAGGCUGGUGUGCGCCAUUUCCAGGGUGGCAUUGCCACUUGCUCCGGAAGCCCUCCCCAGGGGAGCUCUCGAGCCGUGCUGGUGGAGAGCGCAGACUGGAGCAUGCUCAACAGUUAAGCCCUUCCCAUCAGCAACAACAGUGAGGCUGGAAAUGGGAGGGCACUGAGCUCAAAUGUCUUUCCCUUUGCAGGGGAGAGAGCUAAGCUCUCACUAAUGGUGUUCUUCAAAUAAGCACCUUCACUUCAAUUCCUGAAAAUGAUGGUUGAUGAGAGAAUUUGAGUUUGACGCACUAUUUCCCCGUGAGUGAGUCUUCAGUCCUCCCAGGAGAGCCCAGCCACAGAGCCCAGGGCAGCACUGCCGGCUGGCGACUCCUCGCCCCGCCCCUGAGUGCCCGGCCCGCAGAGGGGCAUGUUUCCUCUCUGCACAGGGGAGCUUCUCCCUCCCCUGCCACUCCACUCGGCCUUCUGCUGAGCAGCAAGCACAUCUGGGUUUCACAUGCUACUUCCCCAGCUUUGGGAAUCCAGCCAUCCUAAGGGUUGACCCUGCAGAGGCGAGACAUCAAUGCUGAGAAUGACCGAGUCACUGGAGGUGACACAUGACAAAGUUGUAUAUAAAUAUCAUCCUAUCUCACCGUUACUGAAGUAAACCUAAACCGUGUCGACAAGCGAGUCACUGAUGCGCACAGAAGCCGCGACCCGUGUAGUACAUCUCUGCUGUGCAAACGUUCGUGAAUGGAACUGCACCUGUGUUUUUAUAAGUUGGGGAUCAUUUGUUGUUUUACAACAACAAAAUUUACUGCAUUUAAGUGGUUUUUAUGUAAUAGAAAUCAUGCAAAAUAGUGAAGGAUUUAAAAUAUGUGUAUGAUAUACGUAAAUGUACAAACUUUAGAAAGAAAUAAAUCCAACAAGUUUCAAUCA
ensembl:lncRNA